UCUGCCUAGGAGAGCAAACUCCGAACAACAAACCCGGGCAGGUGGAGCUCGUCAGCCGUGGUAGGCAAUCUUCCUAGGAGAGCAAACUCCGAACAACAAACCCGGGCAGGUGGAGCUCGUCAGCCGUGGUAGGCAGUCUGCCUAGGAGAGCAAACUCCGAACAAUAAACCCGGGCAGGUGGAGGUCGUCAGCCGUGGUAGGCAGUCUGCCUAGGAGAGCAAACUCCGAACAAUAAACCCGGGCAGGUGGAGCUCGUCAGCCGUGGUAGGCAGUCUGCCUAGG